AGAUUGAACGCUGGCGGCAGGCCUAACACAUGCAAGUCGAGCGGUAGAGAGGUGCUUGCAUCUCUUGAGAGCGGCGGACGGGUGAGUAAUGCCUAGGAAUCUGCCUAGUGGUGGGGGAUAACGUUCGGAAACGGACGCUAAUACCGCAUACGUCCUACGGGAGAAAGCGGGGGACCUUCGGGCCUCGCGCCAUUAGAUGAGCCUAGGUCGGAUUAGCUAGUUGGUGAGGUAAUGGCUCACCAAGGCGACGAUCCGUAACUGGUCUGAGAGGAUGAUCAGUCACACUGGAACUGAGACACGGUCCAGACCUCCGUACGGGAGCAGCAGGUGGGAAUUG
rnacentral:rRNA from 1 species